rnacentral:rRNA from 3 species
UACGGAGGGAGCUAGCGUUGUUCGGAAUUACUGGGCGUAAAGCGUGCGUAGGCGGUUAUUCAAGUCAGAGGUGAAAGCCUGGAGCUCAACUCCAGAACUGCCUUUGAAACUAGAUAACUAGAAUCUUGGAGAGGUGAGUGGAAUUCCGAGUGUAGAGGUGAAAUUCGUAGAUAUUCGGAAGAACACCAGUGGCGAAGGCGACUCACUGGACAAGUAUUGACGCUGAGGCACGAAAGCGUGGGGAGCAAACAGG